rnacentral:tRNA from 1 species
CAAAAAAAAGCAUUAGGGUGGGAUGUUUCUCGUUUACAUUGAGAAGAUGACUUUGUAGUCUUUUUUGA